UACGUAGGGUGCAAGCGUUGUCCGGAAUUAUUGGGCGUAAAGAGCUCGUAGGCGGUCUGUCGCGUCUGCUGUGAAAACUCAGGGCUUAACCCUGAGCUUGCAGUGGGUACGGGCAGACUAGAGUGCGGUAGGGGAGACUGGAAUUCCUGGUGUAGCGGUGAAAUGCGCAGAUAUCAGGAGGAACACCGGUGGCGAAGGCGGGUCUCUGGGCCGUAACUGACGCUGAGGAGCGAAAGCAUGGAGAGCGAACAGG
rnacentral:rRNA from 1 species